GGAGCGAUGGUGUGCGUCCAUUCCCAGUGCGUUCUUCUCAGCCGCCGCACUCACCAUCCCUGUCAUCGGCGCGCUACAAGCAGCACCGCUGCCUCCCAGUGCCCUUGCCCUAGAGCCCCCACUCACGCCGCCGCCCAGUGCCGUUGUUCCCAUGGUUUCAUCCACACUGCCCUGCCCGGCGUCGCCCCCCAAUCGCAUCAGCGCCCACGCCGCCGCCCAGUGAUGUCGCCCCGCAUCCCCCACCCAUGCCGACGUCUUCGCAUCCCCCAUCCACGCCGCCGAACCUGGAGGUCCGGACCAACAAAGGCAAAGUGAGCGGGGACGACGGGAAACCACCCCUCCCAUCGAUGCAGAUCAGGUCAGGAAAGAGAUGCGGUGGCCAGACCUUCACAUCCUUUCUUUCCUUCCUCAUGGAGGAUGAACUAAAGCGGCGACGUCCCUGGUGGGAACGAACAAGGGUGUGAACCGAACUCAAUACUGCAGCUGGCGAGUGACGCGAGAGACCUUCACUCCCUUCACCAGAUCAUCGCCAAAAUUGACGCACAGAUGACCGGCACCAGGGAGGAGUUCGACAGCGAGGAGAAGAUCUGCGUUGUCAUGGUCAACGAACGAGCCCAACGAGGUGGGAGACCAUGCUACUCAUCAUCGCUGAGAAAAGUUCAUCAAUAUCGUCGUCGAGUUGCUCAAGCACUCUGACAAGGAGACCCUUGCGAGGAAGAACAAAUCAGGAUUCGAUGCUCUGCAUGUCACUUCAAAGGAAGGCCACGGAGGUGAGAACUGACAAACACUUCAAUACUAAACCACUUCUGAUUGGUCAUAUUUUUACAUGGGAACAGUGGAGCUUUGGACCUUGUGUCUAGACUGGAAUCUCAUAGUUCACAUGAAGAAAGGGGUUUAUGGAUUUCUAAAUUAAUUGAUUGCCAUGGUUUUUUGGGUCUUUGAUCAAUCUCCAUGGAUCCAAUUAUAUUAGUUUUGCAGUGCUGAAAUUUACCUGAUCUGUAUGAUAACUGCAGUGUGCCAUUGCCUACACAAGCUAAUGAGCAAGAAAGAUGGACAUCUGACACUGCUUGUAGAUAUUGUGAAGGUACUCCUGGACCAUGAUCGCUCCCUUGGGAAAAUGUUUGGCCAAUCAAAAUGUGACUCCUCUGAUAACUGCGGCGAUUAGAGGCCGCCAUGAUGUAGCGAACCUUCUGCUGGAGCGAGAUUCUGGAUUGCUUAAACUAUCGAAGGCAAAUGGAACAACAAUUUUUAUUUUCCUGGUACAGGGAAUCUCCAGGCACGACAAAGUAUGUAUUUACAUCAGAAAAAUUCCUUAGCUUUUGUAGAAACAUGAUUUUGGUUUAAUUAUUUAUUAGCACUACCCCAAUUACAUUGGAUUUGUAUGCACACUUCUCAAAGUAAGGUAGCAUGGUCCAUUUUUGUAGGGUUGUAUUUGGUAAUCGUAACUUACCACAAUACCAAUUCUAAGUUUAUUGUUUAAUUCAACAUUUCUAUUAGCAAUUAGUUUUGCUUAUUUCACCUCACUGCAUUAAACUCCACCAGUUUGAAUUUCUUAAUUCUACAGACACUACUUAUGCCAUUGUGUGUUCCUCCACUUCUGGCCUCCUCCAUUACCAGUGACUAACACUAUGAUACAUAUGCAAAUAAUGUAAGUUCGCAACCUGCAAUCCAAAUUAUAGUCAUGGUGAGAACUGAGAACUGCAUUCCUUCUAAUUUGGGGAAAAGGUAGUUCGUCAAUUUGCUUAAAAUUUGCAAGAACUGAGUAGUUGUCACCCGCUUGCAUAAAAUAGACAGUCUAAUUUAUGAUAUGCUUCUGUUUUUUGUCAUGCAUUUUAAUUUGGUAAGAAAAUUCGCAUGUAGUUUUAAAUUAACUCAUUCUGGGAGCUAGCCAAUGGAUAUUUCCUUUGGCGAUUGUCAGUUUUAGUUUGAGUAAUAUAUAUAUAGAGAGAGUGGGAGCUAAGAUGCCUAGAAGUUUAUUAUCGUUUGAUCCCCCAUUUCAUUCAGACUUGAUCUGCGACAAACAAUAGUAUAAUGGUUUUUUCUUCCUCUAUAUGCCCUAUAUAGCAUUUUGCUAUUUUGUGCUACUAUUUAACUUUGUACUUUGCUUGUCAGUAGUUUUCCUACACUAUAGUAGCAACAAUCCUUGUGUGACAAUAUUGUACCGAUUAUAUCAUAGCAAAGGGACAAUAUGUGGGGCUUUCAAACUGCAGUUUGUGAGACAAUCUGUUUGUCCUAUGGAGGUGCUCAAUGGACUUAUGUUUUUGGUCCCUGCAGCUACCAUUAGGUAUUACUAUUCUUCAAUAACUGUGUACCACAUUUUCUUCCAAGCGACUUGAUCCUUUUUUUUAUAACUGUGUACCAUCUGUUAUCCAGUUAGUGAGAUUUGCUGUGUUAAUUCUCUCUUCUUAGUAGGCCAAAGAUCUCACUUUUUCGUAGGUAAGGACAAAGCCCAUAUUUCUUAGGGGAACUUAACAUCAGAAUAGCCUGUCUUUCAGGAGAAAAAACGACAGAGUUAUUUUGUUGUUGCAGUGUGCCUGCUCGGAAACAAUAAGUGAGUGCUUUGUUUUUUUAAUAAUAUAACUAGAAUGAAUGAAAUAUGUGAGGGUUGAGCUCCUGAGUUGUGUAAUUGGUCUAAACCUUUUUGGUUCUUUUUGUUGUUCUUGUGAAAAGUGUGAUAACGGAGGCAAAGUUCUGAGAACACCCAGAUCAUGUAUGCUUAUGUAUCAAGGACUUUGCUCAUAUCCAUCCCAAGUUGAUCAUUUCUACAUACAUACAACAUUAUGAAGAAGCAUUCUUGUGGCUAGAAGCUCAACAAAAUUGAAAUUCUCAAGUCAAUCUUGCAUGAUCAUGUAUGUGGUAUCUCAGGCUUUGUUCAUAUAUAUCCUCAUGAACAUGCUCUUAAGUUGAAUGUUGGUCCUAAAUAAGAAGCUUAGGAGAAUAGCAAUGUGCUACAAAUUUACAAUAUAUGGCUUUCAUGAUUUAUGCCUAACAAGUGAUAAGAUUCUAUAAGUCAUGCCACUUACUUUUUUCCAUUAUAUAUAUCAUUAUUAUUUUGAGGUGCUUUUGGUAACAUUCUACAUUACUCUACAAACAGACGGGCACAACAACACGCGCCAUCAAUGAUCUAGUUGAAUGUACUUGCAAGCUCACAACAAACAUAAGCACGAUGACAGACAAUAUCAUGAUGAUUAAUCAGGUUAAUUUACUGCAAGA